rnacentral:misc_RNA from 1 species
CAAAUAGAAUGGGUUAUUGCUAACCUAUAAACUCCUACAACAGUUAAGCAGAGAAACACACUGCAUUUUGUCACAAAUUAAGAGUAUUGACACAUCAAAUUUUACAAUCCUCAAUCCUAACUGCCAGACGUUCUAACUAGUCAGAAAGCAACUGCAAUGUGGCACUGCCGGUCAACAUAAGAGCCAUUUGAUGACAUUACACUAAUCUGAUAGUGCUUUCUCCACCAGGUGGUUUGCGCACACCGCCAAAGUGAUCCCUAGAUUCAAUUUUUCCAUCAGAGAAUAUAUCAUUACCACUCAUUUCUUUCAGCUUAGCACUGCUCAGUGUCUUCUCCGCCGAUCCAGGAGGAGUAUCUCCCUUGAAAAUGUCAUUGCCUGUCAAUUCUGCAAACUUCUGGUUAUGUAUUUUCUUUACUGUGUUGACAACAGGUUCAUCACCAAACAAAAUAUUGCUUUGACCACCAGCAGGAUUAGAAACCUUGACAGACGUACGUACAAGUCGUGGAGCAGGUUCACCCAUGUCUUUGCUUUCUUUUGACUCUAUGGAUCGGGCAGCAGCCAAAGAUCUAGGAGGAAUUUCUGCGGGAGGGCCAAAUAUGUCAUUUCCACUGAGUUCCUUGCUCUUUGCAUCUGAAAGCUGCUUCUUCAUAUUGCUAUCUGAAUCACUUUCUAGUGUUCCGCUCAACUCUCUCUGUUUUGCCACUUCUGUAAGUGUGAUAGGUUUCUUUGGAGAGAUCCUUUCUUCAGUACUGAAUGAUAUCUGGCUUAUUCCAUUUGCAGCUUGCUGAACAAUGCGGACAGAUGUCCUGUUGUUGAAGUUACCAUUAACAGCUCCUGAUUCAGAUGCAUCAUCUUCGCCAUCAGCAGAAAAGAUUUUGCUGCCAUUCAUCUCCUUCAGUUUGUACCCUGAACAUGGUUUACGUUUG